rnacentral:rRNA from 1 species
UUACGGAGGCAGCAGUAGGAAUCUUCCGCAAGGACGAAAGUCUGACGGAGCAACGCCGCUUGAGUGAUGAAGUCUUCGGAUCGUAAAGCUCUGUUGUUAGGAAGAACCAGUGCAAGAGUAACUGCUUGCACCUGACGGUACCUAACCAGAAAGCCACGGCUAACUACGUGCCAGCAGCCGCGGUAAUACGUAGGUGGCAAGCGUUGUCCGGAAUUAUUGGGCGUAAAGGGCUCGCCGGCGGUUUCUUAAGUGUGAUGUGAAAGCCCCCGGCUCAACCGGGGAGGGUCAUUGGAAACUGGGAAACUUGAGUGCAGAAGAGGAGAGUGGAAUUCCACGUGUAGCGGUGAAAUGCGUAGAGAUGUGGAGGAACACCAGUGGCGAAGGCGACUCUCUGGUCUGUAACUGACGCUGAGGAGCGAAAGCGUGGGGAGCGAACAGGAUUAGAUACCCUGGUAGUCCACGCCGUAAACGAUGAGUGCUAAGUGUUAGGGGGUCUCCGCCCCUUAGUGCUGCAGCUAACGCAUUAAGCACUCCGCCUGGGGAGUACGGUCGCAAGACUGAAACUCAAAGGAAUUGACGGGGGCCCGCACAAGCGGUGGAGCAUGUGGUUUAAUUCGAAGCAACGCGAAGAACCUUACCAGGUCUUGACAUCCUCUGACAACCCUAGAGAUAGGGCUUUCCCUUCGGGGACAGAGUGACAGGUGGUGCAUGGUUGUCGUCAGCUCGUGUCGUGAGAUGUUGGGUUAAGUCCCGCAACGAGCGCAACCCUUGAUCUUAGUUGCCAGCAUUCAGUUGGGCACUCUAAGGUGACUGCCGGUGACAAACCGGAGGAAGGUGGGGAUGACGUCAAAUCAUCAUGCCCCUUAUGACCUGGGCUACACACGUGCUACAAUGGACAGAACAAAGGGCUGCGAGACCGCAAGGUUUAGCCAAUCCCACAAAUCUGUUCUCAGUUCGGAUCGCAGUCUGCAACUCGACUGCGUGAAGCUGGAAUCGCUAGUAAUCGCGGAUCAGCAUGCCGCGGUGAAUACGUUCCCGGGCCUUGUACACACCGCCCGUCACACCACGAGAGUUUGCAACACCCGAAGUCGGUUGGAGGGUAAACCCUANUANGGACAGA